UGAGCAAUCUGCCCUUCUCAUCGGAAUAAGCGUUGGAAACGACGUCUAAUGCCGAAUACGACCUCCUUUCGCAUGAUCGGAGGUGGAAAGCUCCGGCGGAGAAGGAUGAGCUCGCGGCCUAUCAGCUAGUUGGUGUGGGUAAUGGCUCACCAAGGCGACGACGGGUAGCCGGCUUGAGAGGGUGACCAGCCCACACUGGGACUGAGACACGGCCCAGACCUCGUACGGGGA
rnacentral:rRNA from 1 species